GGUAGGCAGACAGGUGCAGGAACUGGAAGAUGACAGGGGCACAUGUCAGACAAAAUUGCAAGACAUCACCCAUGCACUCACCACACAGGAGAGGCACCUAUCCAUACUCCAGAGAGCACUUGAUGAUAUUGAUAACAGGGGUAGGAGAAACAACCUGUGCAUUAGGGGGUUACCAGAAGCAGACAAAGAAAAUUUAAAAGAACAGCUAACCACCCUGUAGCGGAGGGCCACUGCCCUGGGACUUACAUUAUGUUUAAACUGUCGUCUAUUUGGUAAAUGUCUUUGCAGUAAGGGAAUGUAUUUGUGUGAAAUAGCUAAGUUAUAUGUGUAAAUGUAUUGGAUUCGUCUGAAUGUAAGGUAGUUUCAUUCCCUUGGUUUGUUCGAAUGAAACUACCGAACAGUCAGACCUCCCCUGUGUGAAGUGUGUUCUCAAUUACCCGUUGCAACAUUGUUGCGAACUGGGAAUUGACAAGGGAAGUAGCCAUCCUUUGUUCUCGGGGGUGGCCGCCAUUCGACAAACGAACACGUGGCGGCGGCCAUUUUAAAACUCCCGAACAGCGGUGUUUUGCCGUCGAGUGUCUGGAACUCAAAUCGGACACUCGACUAGGUGAACACCGCUGAAUCCUCCACAAGCCCGGUCCGUUCGGUUCCUAACUACCAAACGGCCCGUCGUUCGGUAGAUAGAAAGAACCGAACGAGGGGAUUCAGGCGAACCCUCCCUAGCCUCUAUAGCUAGAGGCUUUCGUGCAAUUUGUUCCCUUAUUCCAGGACCGACCGCAGGGCCCAUUCGCAUGGAACCGCAUUCGGCUAUAUAUAUCUAAUAUGAAUGUACAUUUAGCUGUAUAAAAUAGGUGUAUGAAAUAUUGC